AAGGAACGGUGAAGACGACGACGUUGAUAGGCCGGGUGUGUAAGCGCAGCGAUGCGUUGAGCUAACCGGUACUAAUGAACCGUGAGGCUUAACCUUACAACGCCGAAG
rnacentral:rRNA from 1 species